UGCAGACAUGACUAUAAGUCACUUUGGAUAGAAGUGUCUGUUAAAUUGUAUAUA
rfam:Salmo salar isolate Sally breed double haploid chromosome ssa04, whole genome shotgun sequence.